rnacentral:rRNA from 1 species
UUUAAAUGUAAAAUAAAUAUACUAAAGUAGUAUUAGUUAUGUUCUUGAAAUUUAAAGAUUUUGGCGGUAUUUUAGUCUAUUUAGAGGAGCCUGUUCUGUGAUUGAUAAUCCACGAUUAAUUUUACUUAGUUUAUAUAAAUUUGUAUACCGUCGUUAUAAGAAGAUUUUAAAAGAAUAUGAAUUUUUAAUAUUUUAUAUAAAAAAAUAUAUCAGAUCAAGGUGCAGUUUAUAGUUAAGAAGAAAUGGGCUACAAUAAAUUUAUUUAUACGGAUUAAAAUAAGAAUUUGAUUUUAUGAAGGUGGAUUUAAUAGUAAUAGGAUUAAUUUUAAUUUUAUGAUUUUAGCUCUAAAAUAUG